CCUACGGGUGGCAGCAGUGAGGAAUAUUGGUCAAUGGACGAGAGUCUGAACCAGCCAAGCAGCGUGAAGGAUGACUGCUCUAUGGGUUGUAAACUUCUUUUAUAUGGGAAUAAAAUGUUCCACGUGUGGGACUUUGUAUGUACCAUAUGAAUAAGGAUCGGCUAACUCCGUGCCAGCAGCCGCGGUAAUACGGAGGAUCCGAGCGUUAUCCGGAUUUAUUGGGUUUAAAGGGAGCGUAGGUGGAUUUUUAAGUCAGUUGUGAAAGUUUGCGGCUCAACCGUGAAAUUGCAGUUGAAACUGGCAGUCUUGAGUGCAGUAGAGGUGGGCGGAAUUCGUGGUGUAGCGGUGAAAUGCUUAGAUAUCACGAAGAACUCCGAUUGCGAAGGCAGUUCACUGGACUGCAACUGACACUGAGGCUCGAAAGUGUGGGUAUCAAACAGGAUUAGAUACCCCUGUAGUC
rnacentral:rRNA from 1 species